UGGGGAAUCUUAGACAAUGGGCGCAAGCCUGAUCUAGCCAUGCCGCGUGAGUGAAGAAGGCCUUAGGGUCGUAAAGCUCUUUCGCCAGGGAUGAUAAUGACAGUACCUGGUAAAGAAACCCCGGCUAACUCCGUGCCAGCAGCCGCGGUAAUACGGAGGGGGUUAGCGUUGUUCGGAAUUACUGGGCGUAAAGCGCACGUAGGCGGAUUAGAAAGUUGGGGGUGAAAUCCCAGGGCUCAACCCUGGAACUGCCUUUAAAACUCCUAGUCUUGAGUUCGAGAGAGGUGAGUGGAAUUCCAAGUGUAGAGGUGAAAUUCGUAGAUAUUUGGAGGAACACCAGUGGCGAAGGCGGCUCACUGGCUCGAUACUGACGCUGAGGUGCGAAAGUGUGGGGAGCAAACAGGAUUAGAUACCCUGGUAGUCCACACCGUAAACGAUGAAUGCCAGUCGUCGGGUAGUAUACUAUUCGGUGACACACCUAACGGAUUAAGCAUUCCGCCUGGGGAGUACGGUCGCAAGAUUA
rnacentral:rRNA from 1 species